rnacentral:lncRNA from 1 species
AUGUAUGUGAGUUUGUGUCUUGUGGCACAAGAAUCUGUGUAUCUGUUUAGAUUCACCAGAAAAAGUAUUAAAAUAUUAGUAACAUUGUUUACAAUUGUCUUUCAUUUUCCAAUUUCAGCACAAGGGACCAGGAUUGCCUUUUCAGUUCAAAGGAAACCAAAUUGCUUUAAAAGAGAGCGACAGGAUUCCGAUGGGAUUUUAGGCUCUGAACUGAUCGACAAGAGAGAAUGGGCAUUCUGGACGCACUCAGCCAGGAUGGAGCCAAACUCAGAGCUGAGAGGGGCCAGGAUCUGCAUCCCAGUCUGGCCCACGACCAGCUGUGUGACCUCGGGCGUGGUACUGAAUCUAUCUGUGCCAGAAUCUCCUCAUCUGUAACAGGGGUAAUUAUAGGAUCUCCUUCACCAGAAUCGUGGUGUGAAGUAAGUGAAGCAAUACAGGGAAAGAGUGCAGAACAACACUGACUUGUAGUAAGUGAUCGAAGUACUAGGUGCUACUUUCAAAUAACUCAUAUUUUAAUGUUAUCCGUCUAGCUACCUGUAGAUACUGCAAAACCUACUCCAGGAGCCCUCAAAUGGUUAAUCAUGUAUCUAUUUUUAGGGGCAGAGUCUUCUGCUUUUGCCGGUGCUCUUGGCAAUAGAACGUUGAGUUAUUCUUUCAUUAUAUGAGAUUGAUUCCUGACACUGAAAUCUCAAAACUGCUAGAAGGAGGCUAGAGGCAGAACGUGUCUCAUACACUCAAAGAUUUCCAGUUUUAAAAACUUUGCAGCAAUUAUUUUCACUGGCUUUACUCUUUAUAUAGGUGGACUCACACAGUAUUUGAAUUUUUGUGAUAUCUUAUUUCACUUGACAUAAACCUUAAGGUUCACUCACAUUUAGAAUUUCCUUUCUUUGUAAGGCUGAAUAAUCA